CUCAAAUUUGAAAUCUAAUGGCCUCAGGUCAUUCGAGUUGUAAUCUAUAGGAACGUUUUCCGUGCCGGCUCAUGUACAAGUCCCUUGGAACAGGGCGUCAUAGAGGGUGAGAAUCCCGUACUUGACAUGAACUACCGGUGCUCUGUGAUACGUCUCCAACGAGUCGAGUUGUUUGGGAAUGCAGCUCAAAAUGGGUGGUAAAUUCCAUCUAAAGCUAAAUAUUGGUGUGAGACCGAUAGCGAACAAGUACCGUGAGGGAAAGAUGAAAAGCACUUUGGAAAGAGAGUUAAAAAGUAUGUGAAAUUGUUGAAAGGGAAACGAUUGAAGUCAGUCAUGUCCUUCAGAUUCAGCUGGUUCUGCCGGUGUAUUUCUGUUGGAUGGGGUCAACAUCAGUUUUGGAUGCCGGAUAAAGGCAGGAGGAAGGUAGUACUCUCGGGUAAACUUAUAGCCUCCUGUUGCAUACGGUGACUGGGACUGAGGAACGCAGCUUGCCUUUAUGGCCGGGGUUCGCCCACGU
rnacentral:rRNA from 1 species